rnacentral:rRNA from 1 species
UACGGGGGGGGCUAGCGUUGUUCGGAAUUACUGGGCGUAAAGGGCUCGUAGGUGGCCGACUAAGUCAUGCGUGAAAUCCCUCGGCUUAACCGGGGAACUGCGUCUGAUACUGGAUGGCUUGAAUCCGGGAGAGGGAUGCGGAAUUCCAGGUGUAGCGGUGAAAUGCGUAGAUAUCUGGAGGAACACCGGUGGCGAAGGCGGCAUCCUGGACCGGCAUUGACACUGAGGAGCGAAAGCCAGGGGAGCAAACGGG